rnacentral:snRNA from 1 species
GUGUACUUGCUUCAUUUGCACAUAUACUAAAAUUGGAAUGAUAUAGAGCAGAUUAGCGUGGCCCCUGUGCAAAAUGACAUG